AACGAACGCUGGCGGCAGGCUUAACACAUGCAAGUCGAGCGAGACCUUCGGGUCUAGCGGCGGACGGGUGAGUAACGCGUGGGAACGUGCCCUUCUCUACGGAAUAGCCCCGGGAAACUGGGAGUAAUACCGUAUACGCCCUUUGGGGGAAAGAUUUAUCGGAGAAGGAUCGGCCCGCGUUGGAUUAGGUAGUUGGUGGGGUAAUGGCCCACCAAGCCGGCGAUCCAUAGCUGGUUUGAGAGGAUGAUCAGCCACAGUGGGGCUGAGACACGGCCCAGACUCCUACGGGAGGCAGCAGUGGGGAAUCUUGGACAAUGGGGGCAACCCUGAUCUAGCCAUGCCGCGUGAGUGAUGAAGGCCUUAGGGUUGUAAAGCUCUUUCAGCUGGGAAGAUAAUGACGGUACCAGCAGAAGAAGCCCCGGCUAACUCCGUGCCAGCCGCCGCAGUAA
rnacentral:rRNA from 1 species